UAUGCUUGUCUCAAAGAUUAAGCCAUGCAUGUCUCAGUACAAGCCAAAUUAAGGUGAAACCGCGAAAGGCUCAUUAAAUCAGUUAUGGUUCCUUAGAUCGUACCCACAAUUACUUGGAUAACUGUGGUAAUUCUAGAGCUAAUACAUGCAAACAGAGCUCCGACCGGAGACGGAAGGAGUGCUUUUAUUAGAUCAAAACCAAUCGGUGGCGGGUUCGCGCUCGUUAUCGUACAACUUGGUGACUCUGAAUAACUUUACGCUGAUCGCACGGUCAUCGCACCGGCGACGCAUCUUUCAAAUGUCUGCCUUAUCAACUGUCGAUGGUAGGUUCUGCGCCUACCAUGGUUGUAACGGGUAACGGGGAAUCAGGGUUCGAUUCCGGAGAGGGAGCCUGAGAAACGGCUACCACAUCCAAGGAAGGCAGCAGGCGCGCAAAUUACCCACUCCCGGCACGGGGAGGUAGUGACGAAAAAUAACGAUACGGGACUCAUCCGAGGCCCCGUAAUCGGAAUGAGUACACUCUAAACCCUUUAACGAGGAUCAAUUGGAGGGCAAGUCUGGUGCCAGCAGCCGCGG
rnacentral:rRNA from 1 species